rnacentral:rRNA from 1 species
UACGAAGGGGGCUAGCGUUGUUCGGAAUUACUGGGCGUAAAGCGCGUGUAGGCGGGCUGGAAAGUUGGGGGUGAAAUCCCGAGGCUCAACCUCGGAACUGCCUCCAAAACUUCCAGCCUGGACCCAAGGAGAGGCUAGGGGAAUUCCGAGUGUAGAGGUGAAAUUCGUAGAUAUUCGGAGGAACACCAGUGGCGAAGGCGCCUAGCUGGACUUGUGGUGACGCUGAGACGCGAAAGCGUGGGGAGCAAACAGG